rnacentral:rRNA from 1 species
GACGAACGCUGGCGGCGUGCUUAACACAUGCAAGUCGAACGAUGACGACCGAGCUUGCUCGGUCUGAUUAGUGGCGAACGGGUGAGUAACACGUGAGCAACCUGCCCUUCACUCUGGGAUAACCUCGGGAAAUCGGGGCUAAUACCGGAUAUGAGCUCCUGUCGCAUGGCGGGUGUUGGAAAGUUUUUCGGUGAAGGAUGGGCUCGCGGCCUAUCAGUUUGUUGGUGAGGUAGUGGCUCACCAAGGCGAUGACGGGUAGCCGGCCUGAGAGGGCGACCGGCCACACUGGGACUGAGACACGGCCCAGACUCCUACGGGAGGCAGCAGUGGGGAAUAUUGCACAAUGGGCGAAAGCCUGAUGCAGCGACGCCGCGUGAGGGAUGACAGCCUUCGGGUUGUAAACCUCUUUCAGCAGGGAAGAAGCGAAAGUGACGGUACCUGCAGAAGAAGCGCCGGCUAACUACGUG